AUUCGUUGGUUUCGGUGGAUCCGAGUGCUCUAGUAUCUCUAGGAAGGGCUUCCUAACCGGAAGUAGCUUCGGACGUGGGUGGCCUUUCGUCUCUACCCGCGGCGUUGGAAAAGUUCGGGUUCAGGUCCUGGGUCCCCAGGAGCAAGAGAGAUCAAGAGAAGGAAUGAGGGAAGAAGGAGGACGUUCUUGCACUUGGAUAUCAUUGCUUCUGGGGACGACUUCAAGCGGACACCAAGAUUUCUGACUCUAAGAACUUCGUGGCAGUUGCAGGAGACACAAAAGACAUAGAACCCAUGUUACUGCUUCCUGAGCACAGAAGAAAAUGAUCAAGGCCCAGAGGGCCUCCUCUGGGAAUAUGCCAAGCCGAGCUCAGUGGCUACAGUUCUUCAGAGCACCAUAGCCUGGUGACCCAGCGAUCCAGCUUCAUAGCAGUCCGGUUUUUAUUCAGGAAUAAAACCACUGAAAUGGCCGAGGAAAGUGAAAAGGCUGGAUGGCUUCCGAAUUAUCUCUAUGAAUAGGUAGCUGCAGUGGAGUUUGAGUGGAGAUUUGGCAGUAGGAAGUGGAAAGUGUUUUUCUCUAUUAAGGGUUUGAAUUGGGGCACUUGGGUGGCUCAGUUGGCUAAGCAUCUGACUUUGGCUCAGGUUAUGA